GGUUCUUUUGGGUGAUUUUUGGGGUUAUUUUGGGGGUUCUGGGGGUGAUUUUUGGGGCCGGGAGUGACGGGCUCGGUGUCCGCAGUGGCUCCGGACGCGGCGCUGGACGAGCAGCUGGACACGGCGCUGGCCGGAGCCGCGCUGGCCCUGGGGCUCGUCCUGGCCCUGCUGGGGGCCGGCCUGGCCCUGCUGGCCCGCGACGGCUGAGCUCGUCCCGUGGGAACCCGCGAGUGAACCCGACCUGUCCAAAAUAAACCCGGCUUUGGCA